rnacentral:rRNA from 1 species
ACUCCUGCGGGAGGCAGCAGUGGGGAAUAUUGGACAAUGGGGGCAACCCUGAUCCAGCCAUGCCGCGUGAGUGAUGAAGGCCCUAGGGUUGUAAAGCUCUUUUGUGCGGGAAGAUAAUGACGGUACCGCAAGAAUAAGCCCCGGCUAACUUCGUGCCAGCAGCCGCGGUAAUACGAAGGGGGCUAGCGUUGCUCGGAAUCACUGGGCGUAAAGGGUGCGUAGGCGGGUCUUUAAGUCAGGGGUGAAAUCCUGGAGCUCAACUCCAGAACUGCCUUUGAUACUGAGGAUCUUGAGUCCGGAAGAGGUGAGUGGAACUGCGAGUGUAGAGGUGAAAUUCGUAGAUAUUCGCAAGAACACCAGUGGCGAAGGCGGCUCACUGGUCCGGUACUGACGCUGAGGCACGAAAGCGUGGGGAGCAAACAGGAUUAGAUACCCUAGUAGUCCCAUG